GUCACUUGAACGGGUUGUUUCCAUGGUAACAGACAACACAAAGACUACAGGGAGAGUGAUGGCACCUGGACAAUGGCGUACGAAGGGUUCACCGGCCGUCUUUCUAAGGAAAAGCAGGACUUACACGACAUUAAAAAUUCUGCUGCAGAGUUUUUUCGGGUUAACAGAAUCCCCCAGGAGAUAGAGAGAGCUCUGAACGAGCUAUACUUCCACAAGCCCGAAGACGUUCACGGCUAUCUGGCGGUAGCAGGAGAGCUGAGCUGGAGGCUGGUGGCUGGUGCUAGGCGGCUGAGACAGCCAAUGGCUUCAGAAGCCUUGAAGACCACACCUUUCUUCUGGUGACUCCACGGGACCCGGUGUUAAUAACUCCAGGGUGGCUCCUCGUCCAGUCCACUAAAGGCUUGAAGGGCAGACAGGCAGGGUAGCUGUGUCAGGGCGGCAGGCGGCAAACUCACGAACCCAAGGCUAAUCUACCAGAGUGCAGGCUGAUGGCUUGCAAGCCGGAGGCUAGCUAGCUGAGCGCCAGUCUUCUUCUAAACAAUUGGUGGCUUGGUGUUCAAUGGCAAAUUGACCAUCUGCCAUCUGAUUCGCGGAGCAGCCCCAAACUCAGUGGAAUUGAUUUUGUGUGGAGAGAGCGGGUCAUCAGAGGUUAUCCUUGUCUUCUUAAAGAAAACAUCU